rnacentral:rRNA from 1 species
CAGCAGCCGCGGUAAAACGUAGGUGGCAAGCGUUGUCCGGAAUUAUUGGGCGUAAAGCGCGCGCAGGCGGAUCGGUCAGUCUGUCUUAAAAGUUCGGGGCUUAACCCCGUGAUGGGAUGGAAACUGCCAAUCUAGAGUAUCGGAGAGGAAAGUGGAAUUCCUAGUGUAGCGGUGAAAUGCGUAGAUAUUAGGAAGAACACCAGUGGCGAAGGCGACUUUCUGGACGAAAACUGACGCUGAGGCGCGAAAGCCAGGGGAGCGAACGGGGUUAGAGACCCCGGUAGUCCCUGUCUCUUAUACC